rnacentral:rRNA from 1 species
AUUGAACGCUGGCGGCAGGCCUAACACAUGCAAGUCGAACGAGUGGCGGACGGGUGAGGAAUGUAUGGGAAUCUGCUUUGUGGAGGGGGAUAUCCUCGGGAAACUGUCGCUAAUACCGCAUACCAUCGUAUGCGCCCAGAUGGGAUUAGCUAAUGGGUGGGGAAAAUGCUCACCUAGGCGCAGAUCCCUAGCUGGUCUGAGAGGAUGAACAGCCACACUGGAACUGAGACACGGUCCAGACUCCUACGGGAGGCAGCAGUGGGGAAUAUUGGACAAUGGGCGCAAGCCUGAUGCAGCCAUGCCGCGUGUAUGAAGAAGGCCUUCGGGUUGUAAAGUCCUUGCAGUGGGGAGGCGUUACCCGCAGAAGAAGCACCGGCUAACUCCGUGCCAGCAGCCGCGGUAAUAC